rnacentral:rRNA from 1 species
UUGAACGCUGGCGGCAGGCCUAAGACAUGCAAGUCGAACGGUAACGACACUAGCUUGCUAGUGGUCGACGAGUGGCGGACGGGUGAGUAACGCGUAGGAAUCUACCUAGUAGUGGGGGAUAGCCAAGGGAAACUUUGGGUAAUACCGCAUACGAUCUAAGGAUGAAAGGGGGCCUCUCUUUGAAGCUCUCGCUAUUAGAUGAGCCUGCGUAAGAUUAGCUUGUUGGUGGGGUAAUGGCCCACCAAGGCGACGAUCUUUAGCUGGUCUGAGAGGAUGAUCAGUCACACUGGAACUGAGACACGGUCCAGACUCCUACGGGAGGCAGCAGUCGGGAAUAUUGGACAAUGGGGGAAACCCUGAUCCAGCCAUGCCGCGUGUGUGAAGAAGGCCCUAGGGUUGUAAAGCACUUUUAGUAGUGAGGAAGGCUCAGUAGUUAAUACCUACUGGGAUUGACGUUAGCUACAGAAAAAGCACCGGCUAAUUUCGUGCCAGCAGCCGCGGUAAUACGAAAGGUGCAAGCGUUAAUCGGAAUUACUGGGCGUAAAGCGCGCGUAGGCGGCUUGGUAAGUUGGAUGUGAAAGCCCCGGGCUCAACCUGGGAACUGCAUCCAAAACUGCCUAGCUAGAGUAUGGUAGAGGAUGGCGGAAUUUCCUGUGUAGCGGUGAAAUGCGUAGAUAUAGGAAGGAACAUCAGUGGCGAAGGCGGCCAUCUGGACCAAUACUGA